GACGAACGCUGGCGGCGUGCUUAACACAUGCAAGUCGAACGAAGAGCGAUGGAAGCUUGCUUCUAUCAAUCUUAGUGGCGAACGGGUGAGUAACGCGUAAUCAACCUGCCCUUCAGAGGGGGACAACAGUUGGAAACGACUGCUAAUACCGCAUACGAUCUAAUCUCGGCAUCGAGGAUAGAUGAAAGGUGGCCUCUACAUGUAAGCUAUCACUGCAGGAGGGGAUUGCGUCUGAUUAGCUAGUUGGAGGGGUAACGGCCCACCAAGGCGAUGAUCAGUAGCCGGUCGGAGAGGAUGAACGGCCACAUUGGGACUGAGACACGGCCCAGACUCCUACGGGAGGCAGCAGUGGGGAAUCGUCCGCAAUGGACGAAAGUCUGACGGAGCAACGCCGCGUGAGUGAUGACGGCCUUCGGGUUGUAAAGCUCUGUUAAUCGGGACGAAAGGCCUUCUUGCGAACAGUUAGAAGGAUUGACGGUACCGGAAGAGAAAGCCACGGCUAACUACGUG
rnacentral:rRNA from 1 species